GGCUCCUCGUAAAAGACAAAUGGGGAGUCGGACCUGCCCGGUGAAUUUUUUUAACGGCCGCGGUACUCUGACCGUGCAAAGGUAGCAUAAUCAUUUGCCUUAUAAUUGAAGGCUAGUAUGAAUGGUUUGACAAGAGUGUAACUGUCUCUUUAUAAUUAAAUAAAAUUUUAUAUUUAGGUGAAGAAGCCUAUUUUAAAUUAAAAGACAAGAAGACCCUAUCGAGCUUUAAAGGAAUUAGUAGAUUUUCCCGACAAUAAGGUUAAAAUUUUUUCUAUUAAAAAUUUUAGCUGGGGAGGUCGAGGAACAACUAAAGCUUCCUUUAAAGCUUAAGUAUACUACAAAUAAUGAUCCAAGAAUUUCUUGAUCAAAGAAGUUAGUUACCGUAGGGAUAACAGCAUUAUCUUUUUUAAGAGCCCAUAUCGAAAAAAAGGUUUGUGACCUCGAUGUUGGAUCAGAAUACCCUAAAGAUGCAGCAGUCUUUAAAGGUUGGUUUGUUCGACCAUUAAAAUUCUACG
rnacentral:rRNA from 1 species